CAACAUGUCCCACUGUGGCCCCCAUAAGAUUAUAUUUAUAGCAAUAUGUCCCAAUAUGAGCCCAAUUCUUAUCAUUAUGCAGAGAAAGUGUAGAGUAGUGCAUAGGCUAACAAAAAAAAUUGUUCAUUUAGAAAGCGAAACGACGAGUAAGGCUUCUCACUGUGCAUAGGAUUUGAGAUUAAUUCUAAAUCUUCUGACAUUCUUUACAAUACUGUCCCUAGUUUCCUAUAAAAGCUUCUCACUAUGCUUCUCUUUCCUCUUCCAAUAUCCUGUCUUCAUUGGCUUACACCGUGAUGGAUGACGACAAGUGGUAGAAAAUAAAUGGAAUGGCUAUGCAAUAGUAGUAAGGCCUAAUGCCUUCUCUAUUUUCAGGGUGUUCUUUUCUUCUUUGUAAUUGUUGAAUUAGUUACAAUUGACCGAAAUUAACUAACAUUAACUGAGUUUUCUUGAUUCAAACUAAUUCCGACCCAUUUCUAACUAUAAGGCCAAAAACUGACCAAAACUGGGUUAACAAUGCUGAAGCCAAUCAAAUAUAUUGUGCGAUAAUUGACUGACAUGGUAAACUAUGUUCCUAUUAUCG
rnacentral:lncRNA from 1 species